rnacentral:rRNA from 1 species
UACGUAGGGGGCAAGCGUUGUCCGGAUUUAUUGGGCGUAAAGGGCGCGUAGGCGGCCUCCGCAAGUCAGUUGUGAAAUCUCCGAGCUUAACUCGGAAAGGUCAACUGAUACUGCGGGGCUAGAGUGCGGAAGGGGCAACUGGAAUUCUUGGUGUAGCGGUGAAAUGCGUAGAUAUCAAGAGGAACACCUGCGGCGAAGGCGGGUUGCUGGGCCGACACUGACGCUGAGGCGCGAAAGCUAGGGGAGCGAACGGG